UUGUUACAAGGGCUUCAAACCAGGACUAACAUGUCUUUGUUACUAAGGACUUAUCCAGUAUGUUGGGAGGGUUGAGAAGGUCGAUAGGCGGUGAAAGAAGAGUGGGUGCUGGUGGUGAUCGGACAAUCCACGAUUGAGAACUUGAUUCCGUAUGACGCAAGUAGUCCGUCCAUUGCAGUGGCUGGCUUACAUCCUAUUAAUUAUGCAUGUCUAUCUUAUCACGAGUA
rnacentral:lncRNA from 1 species